rnacentral:rRNA from 1 species
AUUGAACGCUGGCGGCAGGCCUAACACAUGCAAGUCGAACGAGUGGCGGACGGGUGAGUAAUGUAUGGGAAACUGCACGAUGGAGGGGGAUAACUACUGGAAACGGUAGAUAAUACCGCCAACCAUCGGAGGUGCCCAGAUGGGAUUAGCGAGUAGGUGGGGUAACGGCUCACCUAGGAGAAGAUCCCUAGCUGGUCUGAGAGGAUGACCAGCCACACUGGAACUGAGACACGGUCCAGACUCCGACGGGAGGCAGCAGUGGGGAAUAUUGCACAAUGGGCGCAAGCCUGAUGCAGCCAUGCCGCGUGUAUGAAGAAGGCCUUCGGGUUGUAAAGUACUUUCAGCGAGGAGGCGUUACUCGCAGAAGAAGCACCGGCUAACUCCGUGCCAGCCGCCGCGGUAAUAC